GGAGAGAUGACAGAGCGGUCGAUUGUGGCGGUCUCGAAAACCGUUGUGCGGGCAACCGCACCGCGAGUUCGAAUCUCGCUCUCUCCGCCA
rnacentral:tRNA from 1 species